UACGAAGGGGGCUAGCGUUGCUCGGAAUCACUGGGCGUAAAGCGCACGUAGGCGGGUCCUUAAGUCAGGGGUGAAAUCCGGAGCUCAACUCCGGAACUGCCUUUGAUACUGGGGAUCUUGAGUCCGGAAGAGGUGAGUGGAACUCCGAGUGUAGAGGUGAAAAUUCGUAGAUAUUCGGAAGAACACCAGUGGCGAAGGCGGCUCACUGGUCCGGUACUGACGCUGAGGUGCGAAAGCGUGGGGAGCAAACAGG
rnacentral:rRNA from 1 species